rnacentral:rRNA from 1 species
UACGGAGGAUCCAAGCGUUAUCCGGAAUCAUUGGGUUUAAAGGGUCCGUAGGCGGUUUAAUAAGUCAGUGGUGAAAGCCCAUCGCUCAACGGUGGAACGGCCAUUGAUACUGUUAAACUUGAAUUAUUAGGAAGUAACUAGGAUAUGUAGUGUAGCGGUGAAAUGCUUAGAGAUUACAUGGAAUACCAAUUGCGAAGGCAGGUUACUACUAAUGGAUUGACGCUGAUGGACGAAAGCGUGGGUAGCGAACAGG